AUUUAUAUAUUUAAUAGGAGUCACUUACGUCUUUCACACACAUGUUUGCUGGGUAUUUACUGUUUAGGGCUCUCACACUGUGACACACAUGCUUGCUGCUUUAUACGCUUACGGAGUAGUUUUGUUCAAAUUGCCAAUAUAUUAUGUGAUGGAAGUUUAGUGAAUUGUUGAUUAAGAAGGGUGAUAUAUGCAGAAUCUGACUAAGUGGGGUGGAGCUUUGAUUGAACUGUCUCAAUUUCAGAGCGUUCCAGACGCAAAAAAGAUGUUAAAUGGUAUUUUAUUAGUUAUGAUCCGAAUUAGUAAUUGUUAUUGCUAUGUUUUACUUGUUUAUUGAGGUUGAUGGAUUGGAUAUCAACUUUAUA
rnacentral:misc_RNA from 1 species